rnacentral:rRNA from 1 species
UACAGAGGGUGCAAGUGUUGUUCGGAAUCAUUGGGCGUAAAGGGCGCGUAGGCGGCAGGAUAAGUCAGAUGUGAAAGCCCUGGGCUUAACCCAGGAAAUGCAUUUGAAACUAUCUUGCUUGAGUGCGGGAGAGGGUAGUGGAAUUCCCGGUGUAGAGGUGAAAUUCGUAGAGAUCGGGAGGAACACCAGUGGCGAAAGCGGCUACCUGGUCCGCAACUGACGCUGAGGCGCGAAAGCGUGGGGAGCAAACAGG